UACGUAGGGUGCGAGCGUUAAUCGGAAUACUGGGCGUAAAGCGUGCGCAGGCGGUGAUGUAAGACAGGUGUGAAAUCCCCCGGGCUUAACCUGGGAACUGCAUUUGUGACUGCAUCGCUGGAGUGCGGCAGAGGGGGAUGGAAUUCCGCGUGUAGCAGUGAAAUGCGUAGAUAUGCGGAGGAACACCGAUGGCGAAGGCAAUCCCCCUGGGCCUGCACUGACGCUCAUGCACGAAGCGUGGGAGCAAACAGG
rnacentral:rRNA from 1 species